UAACGGGAAGACCCUUCCCUGGUCUUGACAUCCACAGAACUUGCCAGAGAUGCCUUGGUGCCUUCGGGAACUGUGAGACAGGUGCUGCAUGGCUGUCGUCAGCUCGUGUUGUGAAAUGUUGGGUUAAGUCCCGCAACGAGCGCAACCCUUAUCCUUUGUUGCCAGCGGUCCGGCCGGGAACUCAAAGGAGACUGCCAGUGAUAAACUGGAGGAAGGUGGGGAUGACGUCAAGUCAUCAUGGCCCUUACGACCAGGGCUACACACGUGCUACAAUGGCGCAUACAAAGAGAAGCGACCUCGCGAGAGCAAGCGGACCUCAUAAAGCGUUUCUAGUCCGGAUUGGAGUCUGCAACUCGACUCCAUGAAGUCGGAAUCGCUAGUAAUCGGAAUCAGAA
rnacentral:rRNA from 1 species